rnacentral:rRNA from 1 species
UCGAGGAUCUUCGGCAAUGAGAGCAAGCUUGACCGAGCGACGCCGCGUGGAGGAUGAAGGCCUUCGGGUUGUAAACUCCUUUUGUGGGGGAGGAAAUUUCUGACCUAUCCCAUGAAUAAGCACGGGCUAAGUUCGUGCCAGCAGCCGCGGUAAUACGGGAGUGGCAAGCGUUAUCCGGAAUUAUUGGGCGUAAAGCGUCCGCAGGCGGUUUUACAAGUCUGUCGUUAAAACGUGGGGCUCAAAUCCAUU